rnacentral:rRNA from 1 species
GACGAACGCUGGCGGCGUGCUUAACACAUGCAAGUCGAACGGAAAGGCCCUGCUUUUGUGGGGUGCUCGAGUGGUGAACGGGUGUGUAACACGUGAGUAACCUCCCCUUUACUUUUGUAUAACUUCAGUAAACUGCUGCUAAUACCGGAUAGUAGCCCCUGCCGCAUAGUGGGGGUUGGAAAGUUGCGGUGGCUGAGGAUUGCCUCCCGGUUUAUCCGCUUGUUGCUGGGGUAGUGACCUACCAAGGAUUUGACGUGUAGCCGGGCAACGAGGGUGACCGGACACAUUAGGAGUGAGGUACAGCCUAGAAGUCUAAGGGAGGCAACAGUCGAGAAUAUUACACAACGGGAGGAAGCCUGAUGCAGCAACGCCGCGUGUGCGAUGACGUCCUUCCGGUUGUAAACCCAUUUCGCCUGUGACGAAGCGGGAGUGACGGUAAUGGGUAUAGGAGCACCGGAUAACUACGUG